CCCAGACUCCUACGGGAGGCAGCAGUGGGGGAUAUUGCACAAUGGGGGGAACCCUGAUGCAGCAACGCCGCGUGAGUGAGGAAGUAUUUCGGUAUGUAAAGCUCUAUCAGCAGGGAAUAGAAAAGAAGGUACCUGAAAAAGAAGCCUCGGCUAACUACGUGCCAGCAGCCGCGGUAAUACGUAGGGGGCAAGCGUUAUCCGGAUUUACUGGGUGUAAAGGGGGCGCAGACGGCAGCGCAAGCCAGGAGUGAAAGCCCGGGGCCCAACCCCGGGACUGCUCUUGGAACUGCGCGGCUGGAGUGCAGGAGGGGCAGGCGGAAUUCCUGGUGUAGCGGUGAAAUGCGUAGAUAUCAGGAGGAACACCGGUGGCGAAGGCGGCCUGCUGGACUGCGACUGACGUUGAGGCCCGAAAGCGUGGGGAGCAAACAGGAUUAGAUACCCCAGUA
rnacentral:rRNA from 1 species